UUUAAAUUUAAUUAAAAAUACUUAAUUAUUAUAAGUUAUUCUCUUUAAAAUUAAAAAAUUUGGCGGUAUUUUAUUCUAUUUAGAGGAACUUGCUUUUUAAUUGAUAUUACUCAUUAAAUCUUACUUAAGUUUGUUUAUCAAUCUAUAUAUCGUUGUUAUAAGAAAAUAUUUUUAAAUUAAUAAUUUUCAAAAAUUAAAAUUUUUAAAUUAAAUCAAAUCAAGGUGUAGUUUAUACUUAAGAAAAAGUUAGUUACAAUAAAAUUAUUUAUAUGAAUAAAUAAAUUGAAAAAUUUUUUUGAAGGUGGAUUUAAAUGUAAAUUAAUAAAUUUAAAUUAAUUGAUAAAAGUUUUAAAAUAUGU
rnacentral:rRNA from 1 species